AACGAACGCUGGCGGCAUGCCUAACACAUGCAAGUCGAACGAGACCUCCCUGCCUAGUGGCGCUCGGCUGGGUGACGCGGGGGAACUUGCCCUUAGGUUCCGUACACCUCCCUGAGAGGGGUGCUAAUACCGCUUAAUCUCUUCCCACCAAAGAUGUCGCGCUGGUGGAUGGGCCCGCGGUGGUUUAGCUAGUUGGUGGGGUAGAGGCCUACCAAGGCGAUGUUCUGUAGCUGGUCUGAGAGGGUGACCGGCGACACUGGGAAGGAGACACGGCCCAGACUCCUACGGGAGGCAGCAGUGGGGAAGAUGGCACAAUGGGCGGAAGCCUGAUGCAGCAACGCCGCGUGCGGGAUGAAGGCCGUCGGGUUGUAAACCGCUUUCGCCUGUGACGAAGCGUGAGUGACGGUAAUGGGUAAAGAAGCACCGGCUAACUACGUG
rnacentral:rRNA from 1 species